CUCUCUCUUGCUCAGGUCAGUGUGUGUGUGUGUGUGUGUGUGUGUGUCACCUGUACUCUCUCUUGCUCAGGUCAGUGUGUGUGUGUGUGUGUGUGUGUGUGUCACCUGUACUCUCUCUUGCUCAGGUCAGUGUGUGUGUGUGUGUGUGUGUGUGUGUGUCACCUGUACUCUCUCUUGCUCAGGUCAGUGUGUGUGUGUGUGUGUGUGUGUCACCUGUACUCUCUCUUGCUCAGGUCAGUGUGUGUGUGUGUGUGUGUGUGUGUCACCUGUACUCUCUCUUGCUCAGGUCAGUGUGUGUGUGUGUGUGUGUGUCACCUGUACUCUCUCUUGCUCAGGUCAGUGUGUGUGUGUGUGUGUGUGUGUGUCACCUGUACUCUCUCUUGCUCAGGUCAGUGUGUGUGUGUGUGUGUGUGUGUCACCUGUACUCUCUCUUGCUCAGGUCAGUGUGUGUGUGUGUGUGUGUGUGUGUGUCACCUGUACUCUCUCUUGCUCAGGUCAGUGUGUGUGUGUGUGUGUGUGUGUGUGUGUGUGUGUGUGUCACCUGUACUCUCUCUUGCUCAGGUCAGUGUGUGUGUGUGUGUGUGUGUCACCUGUACUCUCUCUUGCUCAGGUCAGUGUGUGUGUGUGUGUGUGUGUGUCACCUGUACUCUCUCUUGCUCAGGUCAGUGUGUGUGUGUGUGUGUGUGUGUCACCUGUACUCUCUCUUGCUCAGGUCAGUGUAGCGGACCGUGUCGUCCAUGCUGCAGGUCACCAGGCGGCUGGACUCGUCCACAGUCAUCCUGGACACCAGGUUCGAGUGUCCUUUCCCCACAAACUCCUCGUUCUCUCCGCUCUCAGCGUCCCAGAUAUUAAUGUGUCCAUCGUGGCUGCCUGAGUAGAUGGUGGACCGGCCGUCUGUCUUAUGGACCGUCACACACUGGAUGGAUUUGGAGUGACCCUGAGUAAUGACACGGUAAUGACACGGUAAUGACACGGUAAUGAC